CUUUACAGAAACUCACCACAGAGGAGUCUAACCGUCAGCCUCACAUUGCUACAGAACAGUCUGUCCAGGAAAACAAUGAAGGGCAACUUAUCCCGACUGCCCUCGACAACCUCUCCGUGCAACACUCAGCCGUCUUCCUGUUCGGUUGCCAGGUGAUGCAGUUGCUUGCGAACAGCCACCUGUUCCCCCCUGUGCUUCUCCUAAUGGCCAAGUCGAUACCUGUUCCUUUAUCUUCCCCAAAUGAGGGUCUGCUGACACAUUGUUCAAGGGACUUUUAUUUUGAUGCAUCCAAUCAAAUCCUUUAUCUGUCAGAGGAAAAGCUUCAUCACGUUGGACAUUUCAUCGCCCUCAUUCUGCAGUCCAUGGCCUACAUAGUGUCAGGAUCCAAACCUCUGAGUUUCAUGGAAGCCCUUCAUGAGGCAAUAUCAGCUUUAAGCCUUCAGCUGUUCAACGUUUCUUUCAAAUGGAACACACCAGGGUCAAAUUCCAACGCUUCAGAGGGGCAGCAUAGUGCAUUAGUGGA
ensembl:lncRNA